GUCCAGGCCGUAACCGUACCCCGAGUGUAACACGUGCCCUUCUAGGAGAAACUACCUCAAUAGCUUGCUUUUGAUGGGCGUCCACCGGUGCACGGGUGAGUAACGCGUAUCCAACCUGGCCACCACUUGGGGAUAACCUUGCGAAAGUAAGACUAAUACCCAAUGACGUCUCUAGAGGACAUCUGAAAGAGAUUAAAGAUUUAUCGGUGAUGGAUGGGGAUGCGUCUGAUUAGCUUGUUGGCGGGGUAACGGCCCACCAAGGCUACGAUCAGUAGGGGUUCUGAGAGGAAGGUCCCCCACAUUGGAACUGAGACACGGUCCAGACUCCUACGGGAGGCAGCAGUGAGGAAUAUUGGUCAAUGGACGAGAGUCUGAACCAGCCAAGUAGCGUGCAGGAUGACGGCCCUAUGGGUUGUAAACUGCUUUUAUAAGGGAAUAAAGUGAGUCUCGUGAGACUUUUUGCAUGUACCUUAUGAAUAAGGACCGGCUAAUUCCGUGCCAGCAGCCGCGGUAAUACGGAAGGUCCGGGCGUUAUCCGGAUUUAUUGGGUUUAAAGGGAGCGUAGGCCGGAGAUUAAGCGUGUUGUGAAAUGUAGAUGCUCAACAUCUGCACUGCAGCGCGAACUGGUUUCCUUGAGUACGCACAAAGUGGGCGGAAUUCGUGGUGUAGCGGUGAAAUGCUUAGAUAUCACGAAGAACUCCGAUUGCGAAGGCAGCUCACUGGAGCGCAACUGACGUUGAAGCUCGAAAGUGCGGGUAUCGAACAGGAUUAG
rnacentral:rRNA from 1 species